rnacentral:rRNA from 1 species
UACGUAGGGUGCAAGCGUUAAUCGGAAUACUGGGCGUAAAGCGUGCGCAGGCGGUUAUAUAAGACAGUUGUGAAAUCCCCGGGCUCAACCCUGGGAACUGCAUCUGUGACUGUAUAGCUAGAGUACGGUAGAGGGGAUGGAAUUCCGCGUGUAGCAGUGAAAAUGCGUAGAUAUGCGGAGGAACACCGAUGGCGAAGGGCAAU